rnacentral:rRNA from 1 species
UAACCUGCCCAAGAGAUCGGGAUAACGCCUGGAAACAGAUGCUAAUACCGGAUAACAACAGAUGAUGCCUAUCAACUGUUUAAAAGAUGGUUCUGCUAUCACUCUUGGAUGGACCUGCGGUGCAUUAGCUAGUUGGUAGGGUAACGGCCUACCAAGGCGAUGAUGCAUAGCCGAGUUGAGAGACUGAUCGGCCACAUUGGGACUGAGACACGGCCCAAACUCCUACGGGAGGCAGCAGCG